GUGAUAACGAUUGAACCAGGAAUCUACAUCCCACUUUCGUUUGAUGGUCCAGAGAGGUUUCGAGGUAUUGGCAUAAGGAUUGAGGAUGAGGUUCUCAUUACAGAAACAGGCUAUGAGGUUCUUACAGGGUCAUUGCCAAAGGAAAUUAAACAUCUGGAAUCGUUGCUAAAUAAUUUCAGCCAAGGAUUUGGAAUGGAGAGGGCGCUGUAACGUGAAAGCUGGAAAAUUCAGGAAGAGUGAAUUAUUGGUGAAAGAAAUUUACUUAUACAAGCAUCUAUCUUAUCAACAGAUUGGUUGAUUUCUUGUGCUUUAAGAAUUGUCCUUGAUUUUGGGAUUAAUUUUUAGCCUAAUUCUUCUAUAAAUUCCUUCCAACUAAUACUAUUACCUUCCCUUGCUUCAAUUCAAUUCAAUGCAUUUACUGAAAUUGCCAAAUAAGUAAUGAAGUCCAAACAUUGUUCUUAGGUUUGGUAUAUGCAAAAAGUUUGGCUCCCCUCCAACUAUUUAUAGUUUACCAACCUGUACAACAUAUUUACUUUGUCUACCAUCCAAGAUCAUAACACCAAACUGAAUUGAAUCAAAAGAGUGGACAAUUUAUGAAAAACUUUUACUCUU